ACUAGCCUUUUUAAAAAAAGAAAGAAAAUAGAGAAAAUCUUAACUUACAUUUACUUACUAUAUGUUGUGAUUAGUUUAAUAGAAGGGAGUUUAAUCCUUAAUAAUUAAGUUAAUCCUCGACGUUUAUCAACUUAGUUCUGAUGUAGUCCUUGUGUACUGUUAUAUAAUGUAGACUACUUGGCCAUACUUGACUUUGUCUAAAAGUUAAUGCAUAAAUUAAUAUUAAAUAUGGCCAAAUACAAAAGUUUAAUGAGUCAUUUGAGGUCAUUUAGCCAGAAACCUGCAUUUAUGUUCCUGGUGAAUUUCUUUCAAUGUCCUUUUCCAAAAGUGGCAGUAAGCAGCUGUCUUAAAAUAAUUAAGGAGACAGUGGGAAUGAUGUUGUUAAAGUCUUUUACACAAUGUGUUGUCUGUCUGUUCCAUAAAAAGUAAAACUACUCUAUUCGUGACCAGCUUGGGCAACAUAGUGAGACUGUGUCUUUAAAAAAAAUAAAAAUAAAAAAUUAGCAGGUGUGAUGAUGCACACCUGUAGUCCUAGCAAUUCGGGAGGCUGAGGUAAAAGAUCGCUUGAGCCAAGUGUUUGAGGUUAGAAUGAGCUAUGAUCGCACCGCCUACACUCCAGCCUGGGCAACAGAGCAAGACCCAAAUGGCUCAUGGUUGCUUUGUUUGUUUUACUUUGUUGAGUGCCAGUGUCUAUUUUGAGCAAAGCAGUGUAAAUGGCCUUCUUGCCCUAGAGUCUUUCAUAAUUGAGCCUUAUUUAAUCUACCACUUUUGACCAUGAAAUUUAACAGGUGACUUCUUCUGGGUAUCUACUCCAGGUGAAGUGAUAUUUUUUUUGACUGAGAUGUCUAAAGCUCUUGGAUUCCUGGUAUUUCACCAGGACAUCUUAGUAAAACAGGAAGUAUCAGAUGAGGAAUCAGACUUGAGUUCUAGCUCUGGUCUGGCCACUAACAUUGAUAUGAUCUUGGGCAAGUUAGUUCCUGCCUGGGUUUCAUUACCUUUAACUGAGGAGGUUGAAAUAGAUGAUUUCUCAUGUCUCUUCUACUCCUAAAUUCUAUGAUUUUAGGGAGAAAAUCCCCUUCAACAUUCCUGGGAUAUAUAUCUAAUAGUCCCAUAUAUUGUGAAACUUCCCUAUUGACGAUAAAGAGGGCUGGGGAAGGCUACAAGUAAGUAUAUCCUAUUUUCUCUAAUCUUUAAAGGUUUUCCCAGCAGAGAAAAGACAGUAAUCAAUGAUGGCUUUUACAAAAUUUGAGGAAAGCUGAUCCUGCAACUUUUCAGCUGCAAUUUCGUAAUGUAGACUUCAGCAACAGCAAUUUCAAAACCUCUGCAGUUUUAAAAAAUCUGAGUUACAUACUUUGAAGAUUUAUCUUCCUAAAUUUCUCUUUUAUCGCAAAAGUAAAAAUUGCCGUCCCUAACUUGUGUCUCUGUGAUUUCACAAAUGAAUGUAAUGUAUGCAAGGGUGUGAAGGAAUGAUAUAGUUGACAGUAGCACCUUGCAAAUGGAUUUUUUAAAUUUAGUAACCCAAAUUAAACACAAUGGGUAGAACUUUCCUGAGUAUUUUUAAUGAAUAUUCUGGGUUGUCUUUACUUGCUUUGUCUAGCUCACUAAAAAAUAAAGUAUGUGGAAUAAUUAUUGCAGGUGCACAUUAUUCACUCACUCCUUCACUUUUGAAAUAGACUCCAGACUAUUACCUUUUAUUUGUGUAUGUUGAAGCUUGUGAGUGUUUGAAAUCAAAAACUUCAAACUACAGAUUCAGAUGACUGCAUUUCUCAUUGAGUUGAUCUAAUAUUCUUCUACUCAUCCAUAAAUAUGGACCCAAAGGACAAGUAUAAUACAGAUGGGGAAGGUGCUAUGAAGUUCAUAAAUUUAUCUUGCCAUGGAAGUCAUUUCUGAACUGAGUUGUUGAAUAUUUUAGCGAUAUCAGUAUAGAAUAGAUGCCUGUGGGCCAAAUUUUUUUCAAGGAAGGAGCCACUCCCUGCUGUUUGACACCACAUUCUGUAUUGUUUUGUACACUGUGCUAGGUUCCUAUAAAUGUUUAUCUUACUGACCAGUUGAACAUUUCUAUGAAUAUAAGCCAGGGAGUUUUUUUGUUGCUUUUUCCCUGACUCUUACCUGUUUUCAUAGGUUCUCUUUGUAAAGAAUCCUUUUCUGGUCAAGUUUCUUCUUCAUCACUCAUGCCACUUACUCCAUUCUGGACCCUCCUUCAGUCAAAUGUUCCUGUGCUUCAACCUCCAUUACCCUUGGAAAUGCCACCACCCCCACCUCCACCUCCAGAAUCACCUCCACCCCCUCCUCCACCACCUCCUCCUGCGGAAGAUGGUGAGAUCCAGGAGGUAGAGAUGGAGGAUGAGGGAAGUGAGGAGCCCCCUGCCCCAGGAACAGAGGAAGAUACCCCUUUGAAACCUUCAGCACAAACCACAGUUGUAACUAGCCAGAGUUCAGUUGAUUCCACCAUCUCUAGUUCUUCUUCCACUAAAGGAAUAAAGAGAAAAGCUACAGAAAUUAGUACUGCAGUGGUUCAGAGGUCAGCUACCAUUGGCAGUUCUCCAGUUCUCUAUAGCCAGUCAGCUAUAGCUACAGGUCACCAGGCAGCAGGGAUUGGAAACCAGGCAACAGGAGUUGGACAUCAGACAAUACCAGUUAGCCAUCCAGCAGCAGGAAUGGGUCAUCAGGCCAGAGGAAUGAGCCUGCAGUCAAAUUACCUUGGACUAGCGGCAGCACCUGCAAUUAUGAGUUAUGCAGAAUGUUCUGUCCCAAUUGGAGUGACUGCUCCCUCAUUGCAGCCAGUUCAGGCCCGAGGUGCUGUGCCUACCACUGCCAUUAUAGAACCACCACCACCACCUCCUCCUCCUCCUCCACCACCACCACCAGCUCCCAAAAUGCCACCACCUGAAAAGACAAAAAAAGGAAAGAAA
rnacentral:sRNA from 1 species